rnacentral:lncRNA from 1 species
CAGGAAGUACGAUCACAAGAAACCAAAACUCCUAAAACAUUCAAUUCAUGUAGAUUCGACAAAUAGGAAGGCACAGCAUGACAAUAACUAUUUUGUUUGACAUCAAAAGAAAAGGAAGAGUCAAGUAUGGAGAUCAAACGGGGCUGAGGAGCUGAUAGACUUGGGGCUUGGGAUCAGAAUUCAUGCCGAUAAUGAUGAUAAGAGGAAUAAAUCCAUAGUGAGUGACCACUUUAGCCUUUUUCAUGGUCCAAGUGCUCCACUCUUUGAAAGAAUCGAUCAUUGAUUUCUCCUCUGAUGCCUUUGCUCCCUUCACGCCCUUGCCUUUGGUCCUAA